rnacentral:rRNA from 1 species
AGAGUUUGAUCCUGGCUCAGAAUGAACGUUGGCGGCGUGGAUUAGGCAUGCGAGUCGCGCGAGAAUGUAGCAAUACAGGACAGCGGCGAAAGGGAGAGGACAACCCGGGAAUCUGCCUUGGGGACGAGGAUAGCGUCGGGAAACUGACAGUAAUACUCGAUAAUGUUUGCGGACCAAAGGUGUGAUUCCGCCCAAGAUGAGCCCGUGCCCCAUUAGCUAGUUGGCAGGGUAAUGGCCUACCAAGGCUGUGAUGGGUAGCUGGUGUGAGAGCACGACCAGCCUCACUGGCACUGAGACACUGGCCAGACACCUACGGGUGGCUGCAGUCGAGAAUCUUCGGCAAUGGACGCAAGUCUGACCGAGCGACGCCGCGUGCGGGAUGAAGGCCUUCGGGUUGUAAACCGCUGUCGUAGGGAAUCAAAUGUAUGAGGGUACUCCCUCGUAUUUGAGAGAUCCUAGGAGGAAGGAGAGGCUAAGCUCGUGCCAGCAGCCGCGGUAAGACGAGCUCUCCAAACGUUAUUCGGUAUUACUGGGCUUAAAGAGUCCGUAGGCGGCUCUGUAGGUGAGAUGUGAAAGCCCUCGGCUUAACCGAGGAACUGCGUUUCAAACCACAGGGCUUGAGGGAGAUAGGGGUAAGCGGAACAGAUGGUGGAGCGGUGAAAUGCAUUGAUAUCAUCUGGAACACCGGUGGCGA